CAGCAGCCGCGGUAAUACCGAGGGUGCGAGCGUUAAUCGGAUUUACUGGGCGUAAAGCGUGCGUAGGCGGCUUCUUAAGUCGGAUGUGAAAUCCCUGAGCUUAACUUAGGAAUUGCAUUCGAUACUGGGAAGCUAGAGUAUGGGAGAGGAUGGUAGAAUUCCAGGUGUAGCGGUGAAAUGCGUAGAGAUCUGGAGGAAUACCGAUGGCGAAGGCAGCCAUCUGGCCUAAUACUGACGCUGAGGUACGAAAGCAUGGGGAGCAAACAGGAUUAGAGACCCCUGUAGUCCCUGUCUCUUAUAC
rnacentral:rRNA from 1 species